rnacentral:rRNA from 1 species
AGCUCGCGUCUGAUUAGCUAGUUGGUGAGGUAAAGGCUCACCAAGGCGACGAUCAGUAGCUGGUCUGAGAGGAUGAUCAGCCACACUGGGACUGAGACACGGCCCAGACUCCUACGGGAGGCAGCAGUGGGGAAUCUUGCACAAUGGGCGAAAGCCUGAUGCAGCAACGCCGCGUGCGGGAUGAAGGCCCUAGGGUUGUAAACCGCUUUCAGCAGGGAAGAAAUUGACGGUACCUGCAGAAGAAGGUGCGGCCAACUACGUGCCAGCAGCCGCGGUGACACGUAGGCACCAAGCGUUGUCCGGAUUUAUUGGGCGUAAAGAGCUCGUAGGCGGUUCAGUUAGUCGGGUGUUAAAACUCUGGGCUCAACCCAGAGACGCCACUCGAUACUGCUGUGACUAGAGUGCGGUAGGGGAGCGGGGAAUUCCUGGUGUAACGGUGAAAUGCGCAGAUAUCAGGAGGAACACCAGUGGCGAAGGCGCCGCUCUGGGCCGUAACUGACGCUGAGGAGC